UUUCUUCAGGAGAAGAGAGAUGGGAACCACAAAAGUAAAUUCUCAGUCCUUGAAAGAUGUAUGGACCAUUAGACAAGAGGACAAGAACAAUGGGAUCUCCAAACACAGUGUUCUUUUGAAAGACCAUUGAGUAGAGAAAUUGCUUCAAUAUUUAUCUUAAAUUCUGCCAAAUUUCUAGGAACCACCAUAUAAGUACUGUUUCAGGCAGCAUCUCCUGCAAAGGGAGAGAUGAAACUGCCACAUUAGAAAGUAAAUAAUUACUAUCAGCUCUAUCAACAGCAACACUUCCACUUCUGCCCUGAGCUGUUGGAGGUUUUCCUAGGAGAGAACUGCAGAUGAACGAUGUAAUGAGAAGUAUCAGCUACUGAAGACAGAAAAUGUUUAUGCUCAUAAUAAUGCCUACAAAUAUAAAUUGUGCUUAUAAUAUUUCUGUAGCUUCUAAUGCUUAUAAGAGAGAAAUUCUAUUCUAAAGACCUGAAGUAAUUAAAAUGAGUAAUAAUGAGGUUCUAAAAGGA